rnacentral:rRNA from 1 species
CAGUCGCCACGGUAACACGUAGGGUGCGGGCGUUAAUCGGAAUUACUGGGCGUAAAGCGUGCGCAGGCGGUUGUGUAAGACAGGUGUGAAAUCCCCGGGCUUAACCUGGGAACUGCGCUUGUGACUGCACAGCUAGAGUAUGGCAGAGGGGGGUGGAAUUCCACGUGUAGCAGUGAAAUGCGUAGAGAUGUGGAGGAACACCGAUGGCGAAGGCAGCCCCCUGGGCCAAUACCGACGCUCAUGCACGAAAGCGUGGGGAGCAAACAGGAUUAGAUACCCCCGUAGUCCCUGUCUCUUAUAC